GAUGAACGCUGGCGGCGUGCCUAAUACAUGCAAGUCGAGCGAACGGACGAGAAGCUUGCUUCUCUGAUGUUAGCGGCGGACGGGUAAGUAACACGUGGAUAACCUACCUAUAAGACUGGGAUAACUUCGGGAAACCGGAGCUAAUACCGGAUAAUAUUUUGAACCGCAUGGUUCAAAAGUGAAAGACGGUCUUGCUGUCACUUAUAGAUGGAUCCGCGCUGCAUUAGCUAGUUGGUAAGGUAACGGCUUACCAAGGCAACGAUGCAUGGCCGACCUGAGAGGGUGAUCGGCCACACUGGAACUGAGACACGGUCCAGACUCCUACGGGAGGCAGCAGUAGGGAAUCUUCCGCAAUGGGCGAAAGCCUGACGGAGCAACGCCGCGUGAGUGAUGAAGGUCUUCGGAUCGUAAAACUCUGUUAUUAGGGAAGAACAUAUGUGUAAGUAACUGUGCACAUCUUGACGGUACCUAAUCAGAAAGCCACGGCUAACUACGUG
rnacentral:rRNA from 1 species